rnacentral:rRNA from 1 species
GACGAACGCUGGCGGCGUGCUUAACACAUGCAAGUCGAACGGAAAGGCCCUGCUUUUGUGGGGUGCUCGAGUGGCGAACGGGUGAGUAACACGUGAGUAACCUGCCCUUGACUUUGGGAUAACUUCAGGAAACUGGGGCUAAUACCGGAUAGGAGCUCCUGCUGCAUGGUGGGGGUUGGAAAGUUUCGGCGGUUGGGGAUGGACUCGCGGCUUAUCAGCUUGUUUGUGGGGUAGUGGCUUACCAAGGCUUUGACGGGUAGCCGGCCUGAGAGGGUGACCGGCCACAUUGGGACUGAGAUACGGCCCAGACUCCUACGGGAGGCAGCAGUGGGGAAUAUUGCACAAUGGGCGGAAGCCUGAUGCAGCAACGCCGCGUGCGGGAUGACGGCCUUCGGGUUGGAAACCGCUUUCGCCUGUGACGAAGCGUGAGUGACGGUAAUGGGUAAAGAAGCACCGGCUAACUACGUG